CGGACAAUUUGCAGGUGCAACUUUUAUAUCAGCGUUUCUAUUUACUGGUCUCAACUUACCGUUGAGAGAUUUUAAAAAAAUAAAAUGAAAUUUGGUUGUGCAUCAGCAGUUUCUGUUAAAGCAGUCACUCAAUUAUCCCAUGGUAAGUUAGUCAUGGUCGAAUUACAGAUGGAGGGGGGGGAUUUAGAUAUUUUGUUACUCAGAUAUAUUAACUGCAAAUACUCCUCUCUGCCCCCUGGCAAAAUGUGUAGAAUUGCAGCAAACUUGCUUUAGGACUGACAUUUUCUUUGUGCUCCAUGGCAAACUGUGCAGAACAUGUUCUCCCAAACGUACUUUUCUUCUCUCCGCUGUCAAGGGGGGCCGUUUAAAAAAUAUUUUUCUCUCAAGGUCACUACAUGUGUGUUUAUGGAUGUGGGUACUCAGACCCACAAGCCACUGGAGCCCCUCAUGAUGGGUUAAGAUUUUGUGGCCCCCACCCUUAUCAACGUUGCCUAUCCCUGGUUUAAGUUGUGAGAGAAAUAUCAGUAAAGCCAUACUUGUGUAGAUAUUUCAGUAUUGACUAGGGCUGCUGGUGCUUUUACACAGUCCACACUGACCCUGUAUUUUAUACGCAUGUCCAAAGUGUUGGGAGGCCAUACCCUCAAAUAUUUGAGAGAAUUGAGAAAGUAGGAUUUUGGUUGUCUAUGCUUAUACUCCCAUGAUGCAGCUUGCUGACAAGAUAUGGCUUCAUAGGUUGACUUUGUUUUGUCUGAUUUAAUGUUUUGGAUCAAUAUUUAACUUGAUGUGUCACAACCAAUUCUAGAAUUGUCUGCGUCUGUGCCAAGGUUAUGCACCAGAAUGUUGUGUGUUUUUUGCUAUUCCCUUUUUUCUUCCUAUGCAAUCUUAGCUAACCUUAUUUAUCAUUUUGUGCACUGUGGGUAGAAACUUCUGAGUUGUCGAGACUACCGAACAAAAAAGCCUUUAAUAUUGUUUGUAUUUGUCAAUGUUUUAUAUUUUUGUGUCCAGGUUUUAAAGGGUUACAGUUAAACAGGGGGUGUGGAUCUGCAGGUAUUGGUAUAGUAUACCACCAUUCUAUUGUAAUGGAAAACUUUGACAGUUGAGAUUAUUGCAAAUCCUUUUUUGUAUGGGCAGAUUUCUAUUCUCAUUUUAGUAUAGCUAGCUCUACACUAAGUUGAAAGCUUAUUCUCAGUUCAAGUUUUAAGCAUGUGCUUGGAGGACUGAAGAUGCUACUUACUCUUGUGAUUUUACAGUCAUGUUUUGGGUAGGAUAAUAUGCCUUAUCUACCCAUUAAUUAGUGCACAAAAUGUUAAUUAUUCUCCAAAUGUUGACAGGUCUAUCAUAUCCCCGUAUCUGUCCUGUCUAAAUGCCAGUCUUUCAUUUGAACAACAAGCACUCCAAAGAUUCAUUGAAUGUACUGGUAUUUCUAAAAUGAGACUUAAAUAAAUGCCAGCUUUAACCAAAAUAGUUGGUUUUCUUUCAAGCUGAUCAGAGUUGCAGUUUCAUGUUCUUUAGGGUACUUUUUCUUGUUUUUAGACCAUGUAGAAGAGCAUGUCAAUAUAAAAU
ensembl:lncRNA